AUGUAAAUCAAUCUCUGUUUCUCGAUAGGGAUAAAUUACUAUAAAGAAAUUGUUCCUAGACAGUAUUCCCUUCAAGUCAAACAUCUUGU
rnacentral:pre_miRNA from 1 species